rnacentral:rRNA from 1 species
CCUACGGGUGGCAGCAGUGAGGAAUAUUGGUCAAUGGUCGUAAGCCUGAACCAGCCAAGUCGCGUGAGGGAUGAAGGUUCUAUGGAUCGUAAACCUCUUUUAUCAGGGAAUAAAGUGCGGGACGUGUCCCCUUUUGUAUGUACCUUAUGAAUAAGGAUCGGCUAACUCCGUGCCAGCAGCCGCGGUAAUACGGAGGAUCCGAGCGUUAUCCGGAUUUAUUGGGUUUAAAGGGUGCGUCGGCGGCCUUUUAAGUCAGCGGUGAAAGUCUGUGGCUCAACCAUAGAAGUGCCGUUGAACCUGGCAGGCUUGAGUAUGUUUGAGGCAGGCGGAAUGCGUGGUGUAGCGGUGAAAUGCUUAGAUAUCACGCAGAACCCCGAUUGCGAAGGCAGCAUGCCAAGCCAUGACUGACGCUGAGGCACGAAAGCGUGGGGAUCGAACAGGAUUAGAUACCCGGGUAGUC